UGUGCUUCAUUCUAUAGAGAAGAUAGACAUAGGUCCGUGGGACAUUGUUUGAAAUAUUGGCUUGAAAAUAUCCACAUGUCGCGUGGCGGCAUUGUGCUUCGUUCGUGGAACGAAGGUCAGAUCUUUUUCGACUCACUUUAACUAUAAUAUAAGGCUUUUUGCAUAGCACUAAGCCCUUCGUCCCUGGGACGAGCAAUAGUAUCUACUAUUCAAUAAUAAAAUGGAUUACAUGUGAAUGAUGUGAAGAAAUACGUCAUCCGUGGGAUGAUAAAUUGUGAAUUGCUUUAUAUACUUAACCUAA